rnacentral:tRNA from 1 species
GGAGAGGGCCUGUGGCUCAGUGGAAGAGCCUCUGCUUGGCAUGCGGAAGGUGCUGGGUUCAAUCCCCAACAUCUCCA